CGCCAGACUCCUACGGGAGGCAGCAGUGGGGAAUAUUGGGCAAUGGGCGCAAGCCUGACCCAGCAACGCCGCGUGAAGGAAGAAGGCCCUCGGGUUGUAAACUUCUUUUAUCAAGGACGAAACAAAUGACGGUACUUGAUGAAUAAGCCACGGCUAACUACGUGCCAGCAGCCGCGGUAAUACGUAGGUGGCAAGCGUUAUCCGGAUUUACUGGGUGUAAAGGGCGUGUAGGCGGGAUGGCAAGUCAGGCGUGAAAACUAUGGGCUCAACCCAUAGCCUGCGUUUGAAACUGUCGUUCUUGAGUGAUGGAGAGGCAAGCGGAAUUCCGUGUGUAGCGGUGAAAUGCGUAGAUAUACGGAGGAACACCAGUGGCGAAGGCGGCUUGCUGGACAUUAACUGACGCUGAGGCGCGAAAGCGUGGGGAGCAAACAGGAUUAGAUACCCGCGUAA
rnacentral:rRNA from 1 species